AUGGCCAUGGACGAGUCACCCCAGCUGUUCCUGUGCCCGAUCUCCAUGGAGCUGAUGGAGGACCCCGUCACGGUGUCCACCGGCGUCACCUACGACCGCCGGAGCAUCGAGCGGUGGUUCUUCAAGUACGGCAAGACCACGUGCCCGGCCACCAUGCAGCGCGUCGCCUCCCUCGACCUCACGCCCAACCACACCCUCAAGCGCGUCAUCGCCUCCUGGCAGGACCGCGCCUCCACCUCCUCCUCCCCCUCCAGCCCCGCGGGCGCGUUCAAGCCGAUGGCGCGGGAGCGGCUGCCGUCGGUGCUCGCCGGCAUUGAGGGCACGCCCUUCAAGGUCACCGCGCUCAAGGGCCUGAGGCUCUGCAUGGCCGGGGACCAGGCGGCGCGGGACGACUUCGUGGCCUGCGACGGCAUCCAGGUGCUCGGCCGCGUCAUGGCGCAGGCGCUGGCGGAGAGCGGCGCCGGCGGGGACUUCUCGGCGUUCCGGACGUGCGAGGAGGCCGCCGCCGUCCUCGCCACGCUCCCGCUCUCGGACGAGGAGUCGGUGGACCUGGUACUGAGGCCCGAGUGCAUGAGGCCCAUGGUCGCGCUGGUCCAGCGCGGCAGCGCCGACGCGAGGCUGCACGCCAUGUCCAUCCUCGCCAAGGUCUCCGAGGCCAGCGGCGCCCGCAACUGGACCGAGGACGUAGACGUCGACGACAUGGUCAAGUCCCUCCUCGACCUGCUCUCUGACGGGGCCUCCUCCAAGCUCAGCUCCCGCGCGCUCGACGUGCUCAUCGACGUCACGGCGCGCUCGCGCUCCAGGGGCGGCGCCCGGCGCGGCAAGGGCGUGGUGGAGGUGGGCGCCGUGCGGGUGCUCGUGGAGCUCCUCCCGGAAGCCGACCGACACGUCACCGAGCGGGCGCUCCUGCUCCUGAAGCGGCUGUGCAAGUGCCCCGAGGGCCGGCUCGCGUUCGCGGAGCACGGGCUCGCCGUGGCGGCCGUGGUGCGGACCGUGCUGCGGGUGUCCGGCCUGGCCACGAGGCUGGCGGUCAACGUGCUGUGGCUGGUGUCGUGCGCGGCGCGGCCCACGGAGAGGGUGCUCGACGACAUGGUGGCGAGCGGCGGCGUGGCGAAGCUGCUGGCGCUGCUGCAGGCGGACAGCUCGCCGUCGACCAAGGAGAAGGUGGCGAGGAUGCUCAGGGUGCACGGCGCCUUCUGGAGGCAGUACCCUUGCAUCCCCGCCGACCUCAAGGACUACCUCAAGUUUCUCAAGUGA
rnacentral:rRNA from 1 species